GCGUGUCACACAUGUGAUGUCAUAACCAUUUUCCACCAAAGAGCAGCACUGAGCAGAAAUAACACUGCUCCUGUUCAUUCUUCAUCAGAAAGGGGCCGGUGCUGGACACUGUGUAGGGACGAGGGAAUGCAAAGUCAUACACAUGACUGUGACUGAUGCACUAUUUCCAGGACAUGGAGUAGCAUUUCCGGACCUACAGCAAGACGUUGGAUGAAGGCAUAGCCCCAGAAAUAACACUGCUCAUGUUCAUCAGUGAGGGGCCGGUGCUGGACACUGUGUAGGGACACGGGAAUGCAAAGUCAUGCACAUGACUGUGACUGAUGCACUAUUUCCAGGACAUGGAGUAGCAUUUCGGGACCUACAGCAAGACGUUGGAUGAAGGCACAGGCCUAGGAAUCAUGCACAUACACAGAAACAUUUGCCAAAUUAUAGAGGUAACCUCCUUUAGUAUGCCCAGAGGAAGGGCAAUACAGUAGCCAUGGAUUCCCUACAGGUUUCCUCCCCUCUGGAGGUUUUUCCUGUCCUGAGUAUUAGUUACUGUACGCUCUUUGUGAGUGAUGGGAGGUUACAAAACAUCCCCUACACAAACAUUUUAAUAAAUAAUAAAUAAAGUUCCACUUUUUU